AUUUUGAAAAAGAACUACUGCAAUUUCAAACCAUGUUUCAACCUUUUCUCUAAUUUUAGCAGGAGAUUAUACAAUAACCAAUCAAAGCUAAAACAAAACUAACUAAGACUAAAGUAUUAACUCGAAUUCCCAGUAUAGAGUUCUACACAAUCCAUGAUCCAUUCUAACCAUAUAACAUUGUUCCUAAACACAAACUUCAAAAUCAAAAUUAAUAACAGAAGCUAACUAGACCAACUGAAGCUAAUUUCUUAAUGAUAGACCAACCAUUCACAUAUUAGGCACAAUCAGAUUUAA
rnacentral:lncRNA from 1 species